CGAUAAUCUGCCGUUAGAUUCGGGAUACCCUCGGGAAACUGAGGUUAAAACCGGAUAGUGGAUUGGUGCUGGAAUGCUCUUUCCAUCAAACGUAAGGUCUAAGGAUGAGUCGGCGGCUGAUUAGGCAGUUGGUGGGGUAAUGGCUCACCAAACCGAGAAUCAGUAGGGGAGAUGAGAGUCUUGGCCCCGAGAAGGACACUGAGAUACUGGUCCUAGCCCUAAGGGGUGCAGCAGUUACGAAAACUCUACAAUGCGCGAAAGCGUGAUAGGGGAAUUCCAAGUGCUUUACCAAUGGUAAGGCUUUUGCCAAGUGUAAGUAGCUUGGCGAAUAAGUGGUGGGUAAGACCGGUGCCAGCCGCCGCGGUAACCCCGGCGCCACAAGUGGUAGCCACAUUUAUUGGGUCUAAAGCGUUCGUAGCCGGUUUGGGUUAUUUUAUGUGAAAUCGUUGGGCUUAACUUAACGGUGUGCAUAAAACACUCCCAAACUUGAGACCGGGAGGAGGUAGAGGUAUUCUGGGGGGAGCGGUAAAAUGCUAUAAUCCCUAGAGGACCACCAGUGGCGAAGGCUUCUAUCUAGAACGGGUCUGACGGUGAGGAACGAAGGCCAGGGGAGCAAAUCGGAUUAGAUACCCGAGUAGUCCUGGCUGUAAACGCUGCGAGCUAGGUGGUGCAAAUUCCUUGAGGAUUUGCAACGCCUGAACGAAGGUGUUAAGCUCGCCACCUGGGGAGUAUAGUCGCAAGACCGAAACUUAAAGGAAUUGGCGGGGGCUCGCUACAAGGGGUGCGGCGUGCGGUUCAAUCUAACAAUACGCAGAGAAUCUCACCAGGGGCGACGGCAGAAUGAAGGUCAGAUUAAAGGUUUUACCUAACAAGCCCGAUA
rnacentral:rRNA from 1 species